GGGCCCUUAGCUCAGCGUGUAGAGCGCUCGGCUCAUAACCGGGUGGUCACGGGUUCGAAUCCCGUAGGGCCCA
rnacentral:tRNA from 1 species